GCCAGAGGCGAGGCGGCGAGGGAGGGCGGCUUCAGCCCAGCCGGCCGCUCUUCCCUCAGGGGUGGACCGGGAGUGGCUUUUGCCGGCUUAUUUAUCCUGUGACAGCGUUGGAGGAGAGACCACAGUUCCCUGUGGCUGCCAGUGAGGGACACAAAGCAAACUGGGAAGCCUGUAGAAAGCCGACAGUGUCAGAGAAAGUGCAAAGAUGAGAGGAAAGAAAAGGAUUUCCUAGAUGUAAAAAAUUACUCUUUGCUGCUGCUCCAGCUGACAUUAUCUGCACACAGGCAAGUAGACAUGCAGUCUCUGGCUGGCCUCAUCUUAUUUGUAGAUAAGUUAAUCAGUAUUUUAGAUAACUA